AGGACAACUGGUAUUUAGACUUUGGACUGAUUUCAGCAUUGUUUGUUGGAUUUAGGAUUGUUUCCUUCAUCAUUCUUGUUAUACGAGCCAAAAGAUCUAGUGCUUAAGUAUUAAAACAAUUCCUAUUUGAGAUGGUUGUGUGCCAGUGAUUAGAAAUAAAAUAUGCGAUUGGAGAAAAUUUCCUGAAAUUCCUGAAUUUAUAUACUUAGAUAGUACAUUUUCUAUGAGGAGCAAAUUCACAGAUUUUGUAAUUCAUUAGUACCAUCAAUACUAAUACUCAACAAGAGGCAUGUACUUCAUUGACUUGAUUAAUGUCUGAGACUAGAGAUUGAAAAAC
rnacentral:lncRNA from 1 species